UUUUUUUCUUUUUCUUUUUUGGUAACAGGGAUCGAACUCAGGACCUUACGCCUGCAAGGCAGGCGGCGGCACCACUGAGCUAAAUCUCCAGCACAAAUCUAAGGAUGUACAUGGCUGAUUUUAAACAAAAUUUUUGAACUAGAACCUCACCUAUCUCCUUUUGCCUUCCUUGUUUGAAUGCCACCCCACAGUCAGCUGAAUUCUUUCCAUCAAAGUCAGAGGCGCGAACAAAUGGAGCUGAGCACAGAGAUCCUCGGGAAUGUGGUGGCUAAGGUGGCUGCGGAGAAAAAAGUUGCAACGAAAAGCUGCCAUCGGGG
rnacentral:lncRNA from 1 species